ACAAGCGGUGGAGCAUGUGGUUUAAUUCGAUGCAACGCGAAGACCUUACCUGGGCUUGACAUCCCGAGAAUCCCCUGGAACAGGGGAGUGCCUUUCGGGGAACUCGGAGACAGGUGCUGCAUGGCUGUCGUCAGCUCGUGUCGUGAGAUGUUGGGUUAAGUCCCGCAACGAGCGCAACCCUUGUCUUUAAUUGCCAGCAUUCAGUUGGGCACUUUAAAGAGACUGCCGGUGUUAAGCCGGAGGAAGGUGGGAUGACGUCAAGUCCUCAUGGCCUUUAUGCCCAGGGCUACACACGUGCUACAAUGGGUGGUACAAAGAGAUGCCAACUCGCGAGAGCGCGCCAAUCUCAGAAAGCCAUCCUCAGUUCGGAUUGGAGUCUGCAACUCGACUCCAUGAAGUUGGAAUCGCUAGUAAUCGCGGAUCAGCACGCCGCGGUGAAUACGUUCCCGGGCCUU
rnacentral:rRNA from 1 species